AAGGCUUUAAGUUAAAUAAACUAAUAGCCUUCAAAGCUGUAAAUAUAGAUAAUUCUUUAAGCCUUA
rnacentral:tRNA from 1 species